rnacentral:lncRNA from 1 species
AAACAAGAAUAUUUCUAAAAGUUUAAAAUUUCUAUCCACUCAUUUAAUUCUUUGUUUUGUUUCUUCCUGCAAUUCCAUGGGAUAUAUACAUUGUAAGCAUGUAAACAUUUAUUAAGCUAACAUACAAAUAUUUCAUUAGUUUUAUUUGUAUACCUAUAAGGUACACCCAUCAAUAAAAAAUGCAUUCUUAAGACCCAGGCAGAAUUAUUAAAGAUCAUCCACAGAACUUAAACCUCCUCUUCAAUCUCUCUUAGAACACUGAAGAGCUUGUCAAUAUCUUUUCUAGGUGCGGUUUGUCAAACCAGUAUUCCAAUAGACAGCCAUUAGCACCUCACCCUAUGCUUCAGAAUCACAUUUGGGGGAAUUUACUUUGACUGAUCACAGCUUGCAAGGAUCAUUUGGUUCUGUGAAUCCAAUGUUAUGUUUUAAAAGCUGUUUCCUAUCAGUGAAAAUUUGUGUACCCCUUGCCUAUACUAAUUUGCAAAGAGCAGGGUAGAAAAAAAGAAGAUAAAAGAUAUCACACCUCCUAAGAAAUCUGAUGAAAGUAAAUUGUCAUUCUGUUGACAUUUUGAGGUGGCAAAUUUCCCAGGCCCCGGCAAUAUGGAUAGUUUUCUGAAUUAGGUAAAUUCUUUGUCAAACAUCUUCAAGUUUAUCAAGGAAAGCUGUUGUGAAAAAACCAUAAUUUUAAACCUUUCUCAAAGAAAUUGCUGAAAUUAUUCCCCUUUCGUCCAAGUCCAAAGUGAAAUGAUUGGUGUUUUAAAAGCAACACAUAUUCAGCUGUCACUAAAGUGAUGUGAUGUAAUCUUCCUGCUUUCAGAAAAGUGUACAAUAUAAGACUCAUCUUAAAUACACUAUGGCCAUAAUGGAGAAAAUUUCUCCACAUCUGAAUUUUCCAUGGAAAAAGCAUUUUGAACAAAUUUGGGAAAAUCCAACAGUUUUUCUUUAAGGGGAGUAGACUCAAGAAAUGAUAUAUCAAUAAUGUAAAUGGAUUUAAAAAUGACCACAUACAGGCAUAUACAUUUACCUAAUAUAGCUCAAAAAUGUGAAGGAAACAGAGAGGAUGACACAGUAACAUUUCUCAAACCCCAGACUGCAAAACCAAGAGUCCUCAAUUUUGCAAACUGAAAGAGAAUGCAUCCGGUCAGUUGCAAAGGUAUUGAGCUUCUUACUCCAGCUUGAUGUCUGUUUGAGAUGGAUUAGUCAGCCUUUUGAUAGCCACGUUCCUGCCUGCUGCUAAGACAGUGACAUUGGCCAAACUAAAGGGGUCAUUUUCCAUAUGAACAUGGUGACUAAUGUCAUGAGAAUCAGAAUGACCAGAUGCACCAUGGCAUAAACCUCAUUUACUAAAUAUGGGUAAGUCCUUAGAAGCUACUUCAGCUCUAGGUUGCCCAGAGGACAGACAAAUAAGCCGCAUGAAUACAGUUAAAGUUAUAAAGCAUAGUGUGUCUUUUCCACUCUCUUGCCUCAAACAUUAUUCCUUCUAUCUCACAUCACCAAUGCCCAUUCUGCUCAUGUAACCCCAAUCAGUUAACAUGGCCAUUUACAACUGAGAAAUUAAAAUGUCUGGAGGAGCCUGGGUAGAUGACUAUCACACUGAAGUUUUACAGAUUCAGGAGUCCUGUGCAUUUUGGGCAAUGUGCACCCUCGUGGUGCCAAUUGCCUCUUGAAUUGCUGAGUGAGCGGUUGUCCUGUGCCUAUAUCUACUUUAGGCCCAGGACAAUCGGUAGUUUUUCAAGGGCAUAAGUUUAAUUAAAGUUUCAAGAAAGACUUUGAAGGAAAAUGGAAUUAUGCUUUUUCCUGUUGGAGAGUGUAAGUGAGGCAGAUUCAUUAGGAAAUGAGUCUUCAGGACUUACUGAGUUUUCUUCAGUAGAGUGGAGCUUUGUUGUGGUCCUAUAUGACAUUCAGUGAAAGGAUGGAGGAGCCAUGUUGUAUUUUCCUCAAUGGGAUAAUCUGAGAAUGAGAAUUUCCCAGAAUUCUCUGUUUCUUUCUUUCUUACAUAUUUGUUUUCAGAGAUUUGAUCCAUUGAUAUGUGAAGCUUGGCUUUAUUCAAGAGAUUAUAACCUCAAUUAUGUAAUGAUAAUAAUGUCUUACAUUUAUCUAGAUCAGGAUUUUAAAACUCAGCACUAUUGACAUUUUGGACCAGAUAACUUUGUAUGAAGGAGGGCUUUCCUGAGCAUUGUAGGAUGUUUAGCAGCAUCCUUCACAUCUACUCGCUAGAUCUAGUGAUGCCACCUCACUGUGAUGACAAUCAAAAAUAUGUCUCCAGAUAUUACCAAAUGUUCCUUGGCAGGCAGGGGUAGAGGGAGUAGGGGAAAAAUGGACUCCCAUUGAGAACUAGUGAUGUAGAUCUUUUAACUUUUCAAAGUACUUUCAUGUCACGUUGGAUUCUUACAACAAGACUGUGAGGACAAGUAUUGUCAUCCCCACUGGACAGGGAAAGGAGAAAUGUAGAUCCCCAGAGCUUUAGGCCCAGGGCUUCAUAAAACUAUGGUGUUGUUAGUACUUGGAGCAUAAUAUUUUAUCUAUAUAUAUGUACUGAAUGGAAUGUUGAGUUAAUAUACUUAGUGACAGCAUUCAAAUGUGAGCCUGGAAAGGCAGAAAGAAAAACAGGGAUGUGAAUAUACCCAUAUUGAAAUAAUUUUUUCUUCUGCUCAAGACUUGACGGUAUUCUACUUGUGUCACCAGAUGUUCCACAGAAAAGAGAAAUGUUAUGUACUAAUUCUUGAUCAUGUAUCACAUGCCUCCAGGAAAGUAACUUGCAUAAUUGCUUUUAUUAUUUUUGAGAAGUUAAACACAUUAAAAAAACAGUAAUAAUAUGACAGUGUCCCUGCUACUCUGAAUACUGAAUAUUAACAAUUUA